UUCGCCCUUAGAGUUUGAUCCUGGCUCAGGAUGAACGCUGGCGGCGUGCUUAACACAUGCAAGUCGAACGAAGAUAUUAAGAAUGAGAGCUUCGGCAGGAAUUUUUUCUAUCUUAGUGGCGGACGGGUGAGUAACGUGUGGGCAACCUGCCCUGCACUGGGGAAUAAUUAUUGGAAACGAUGACUAAUACCGCAUACGGUUCCUGGGAGGCAUCUUCCGGGAAAGAAAGGAUUUAUUCGGUGCAGGAUGGGCCCGCAUCUGAUUAGCUAGUUGGUGAGAUAACAGCCCACCAAGGCGACGAUCAGUAGCCGACCUGAGAGGGUGACCGGCCACAUUGGGACUGAGACACGGCCCAAACUCCUACGGGAGGCAGCAGUGGGGAAUAUUGCACAAUGGGCGAAAGCCUGAUGCAGCAACGCCGCGUGAAGGAAGAAGGGUUUCGGCUCGUAAACUUCUAUCAACAGGGACGAAAGAAAUGACAGUACCUGAAUAAGAAGCCCCGGCUAACUACGUGCCAGCAGCCGCGGUAAUACGUAGGUGGCAAGCGUUGUCCGGAUUUACUGGGUGUAAAGGGCGUGCAGCCGGAGAGACAAGUCAGAUGUGAAAUCCACGGGCUCAACCCGUGAACUGCAUUUGAAACUGUUUCCCUUGAGUGUCGGAGAGGUAAUCGGAAUUCCUUGUGUAGCGGUGAAAUGCGUAGAUAUAAGGAAGAACACCAGUGGCGAAGGCGGAUUACUGGACGAUAACUGACGGUGAGGCGCGAAAGCGUGGGGAGCAAACAGGAUUAGAUACCCUGGUAGUCCACGCUGUAAACGAUCGAUACUAGGUGUGCGGGGACUGACCCCCUGCGUGCCGGAGUUAACACAAUAAGUAUCGCACCUGGGGAGUACGAUCGCAAGGUUGAAACUCAAAGGAAUUGACGGGGGCCCGCACAAGCGGUGGAUUAUGUGGUUUAAUUCGAAGCAACGCGAAGAACCUUACCAGGGCUUGACAUCCUGCUAACGAAGUAGAGAUACAUUAGGUGCCCUUCGGGGAAAGCAGAGACAGGUGGUGCAUGGUUGUCGUCAGCUCGUGUCGUGAGAUGUUGGGUUAAGUCCCGCAACGAGUGCAACCCCUAUUGUUAGUUGCUACGCAAGAGCACUCUAGCGAGACUGCCGUUGACAAAACGGAGGAAGGUGGGGACGACGUCAAAUCAUCAUGCCCCUUAUGUCCUGGGCUACACACGUAAUACAAUGGCGGUAAACAGAGGGAUGCAAAACUGCGAAGUGGAGCGAACCCCUAGAAGCCGUCCCAGUUCAGAUUGCAGUCUGCAACUCGACUGCAUGAAGUCGGAAUCGCUAGUAAUCGCGGAUCAGCAUGCCGCGGUGAAUACGUUCCCGGGCCUUGCACUCACCGCCCGUCA
rnacentral:rRNA from 1 species